UUGUUAGUUAUUGGCUUGAUUUAAGAAACAUCCUGUUUUAGGAAAGAUCAAACUGAUUUCCUAAUCAGUUUUGCACCUCCUCAAGUAUUUUAGGAAUCUGUUUUCUAAGUUACAUUAGGAAAUAGUUCUCUAUUUAGGACUUCUAUUUCUAGGCAAUUCUAGAUUAUUCCUAGGCUAUAAAUAAGAGUGUAACCCUUUGGUUAUUGUAUCUUAAUCUGAAUUGUAGAGGUGUGUGAAGAAGUCUAUUUUCUAAGUUUCAAUAAGAAGUUUAUUGCUGUAGUGGAGUAGGCACAUUGCCUAACCACUAUAAUUCUUUGUGUUCUUGUUUAAUUCCGCAAUAGUUUUCUGUUUUCUGUGUGAAAGAUCUUGGGGUGUCUAGGAAGUAGCUAAUCUUAGUACAACAAACUGGUAUUAGAGCCAGUUCUAGGGUUUCAUCUAGAGUUAGCUUGUUUGAAGUCAGAAACAGAGUUUGAAGGUGAAGAUGUCUAAGUCGAUGUCGAACGCGAAGUUUGAAGUAGAGAAAUUUGAUGGUAAGAACAAUUUUACUUACCAUGUGGCAAUGUGAAGUUCGUGAUGCUUUGAGUCAGUAAGACAUAGAGGAUGCUCUAUUAGAAGCAAAACCUGCUGCACCAGAGAUGACAGACAAUGAAUGAACAUAGAUGAAUCGUCAGGCUUGUAGUACAAUCCGUUUGUGCCUUACAAAGGAGAUAAAGUACGAUGUGAUGAAUGAGAAUGUAGCUUUCAAGCUAUGGAAGAAUCUGGAAGACAAGUAUGUAGCGAAAAGUGUUUCAAAUCGAAUUAUGAUGCAGAGAAGACUUUUCAGAUUCAACAAAAAACCAGGUACCUCUAUGGUUGAACACCUCGAGUACAAUAAAUUAAUUGCUGAUGCACUUAAUAUUGGUGUGAAACUAAAAGAUGAAACCAAAACUUGCUGUUUUUUUGGCAUCUCUGCCUGAUUCGUAUGAAACUUUCAUUGAUAGUUUAUCGAAUAAGAUAGAGGAUAAAACAUUCUUGUUUGAUGAUGUGACUGCUGCACGUAUAAGUUAUGAUAUUAGGCAAAGGGAUAUAGAUUUGAAUAGGGAAUAUGACUAGUGAGGUCUUGCCAGUAAGAGGGAAGUCUGACAAGAAGAAUUCAAGUAAAUCAAGUUUCAAACCGAAGUCCAAAUCAAAGAUCCCAGCAUAUGAUGAAUGCUCCUUUUGUCAUUAGACUAGACAUUGGAAGAAGGAUUGUCCUAAAGCAAGGAACAAGGAUAAGAAGAAUUUAGACGUAAACGUUGCUGAAAUCAAGUUUGGUGCUAUUGAAGAUGAUGAAUAUGACAAGUUCUCGAUGACUGUUCAUGAUUCCGCGUUAGUUGCAGAUACAACGCAGUGAAUUAUGGAUUGCGCAGCUUCCUACCAUAUGUGCCCUAUGAAGGACUGGUUCGUUAAGUUUGAAAAAUUUGAUGGACCAAGGGUGUUUAUGGGUAACAAUAAUACCUGUAAAGUUGAAGGGAUUGGGAAGAUUCAUUUGAAGAUGAAUGGUGGCGUUGUUCAAGAACUUGAAGAUGUUCGUUAUGUACCGGAAAUGAAGAAAAAUCUGAUCUCAGUAGGUGAACUAGACUCCCGAGGAUUUGAGAUGACAUUGAAAGGUGGAGUUUUGAAGGUCUAAUCCAAUGAGCUAGUUGUUAUGAAAGGUUUGAAACAUGGAAACUUGUAUUUUCUGCAAGGAAACACAAGUGUGAGUGAAGGAAUUGCAGCAGUAUCAGAUAGUGUUGAGUCGGACACUACCAAACUAUGCCAUAUGCGUUUAGAGCUACCUAAAGGAGAAAAGGCAAUUGGAUGCAAGUGGGUAUAUACAAAGAAGGAUCUCCAAGUGCAAGCAAUGUAAGAUACAAAGCAAGGUUGGUAGCUAAGGGCUACGCGCAGAGGAAAGGGAUCGACUAUAAUGAAGUGUUUUCUCCAGUGGUAACGCAUACUUCCAUUAGAAUUUUACUUGCUUUGGUGGCGCAGUUUGGUCUUGAGCUUGUACUACUCGAUGUGAAAACUGCUUACAUGGUGACUUGGAGGAGACGAUUUAUAUGAAGCAACCUGAAGGUUUUGAAGUAGCGGGUAAAGAAGAUAGGGUAUGUAACUUGAAGAGAUCGUUGUAUGGCUUUAAGCAGUCUCCAAGGCAGUGGUACAAACGAUUCGACAAGUUUAUGAAGACAUAAAAGUACUCAAGCAGCAACUAUGACUCUUGUGUGUACUUCAAAAAGCUCAAAGAUGAAUCAUUUAUCUACCUACUUUUAUACGUAGAUGACAUGCUUAUUGCGUCUAAAAGUGAGGUGGAGAUUCAAUGAUUGAAAAAUCAGCUUAGUAGUGAAUUUGAGAUGAAAGAUCUCGGUAAAGCAAGGAAAAUUUUGGGCAUGGAAAUUGAGAGAGAUAGGAGAUCAGACACUAUUAAUCUUUCUCAAAAAUCUUAUUUGAAAAAGCUAUUCAAGCGUUUUGGUUUAGAUGACAAGGCUAAACCAGUAACACAACCUCUAGCUCGACACUUUAAGUUGAAUGUUGAACAGUCACCAAAAACAGUGGAGGAGCAGAGGUUAAUGGCUGAAAUACCGUACACAAGUGCUGCUGGAAGCCUUAUGUAUGCUAUGGUAUGCACUAGGCCUGAUAUUUCACAAGCUGUUAGUGUGGUUAGUAGAUAUAUGCAUAAUCCAGGAACACUGGCUGUGAAGUGGAUUUUGCGGUAUAUUUAAGGUACCGUAGAUGUUGGAUUGAAGUUCUCACGAAAUGAGAGAACUGGUUGCAAAGUAGUAGGAUAUUGUAAUUCCGAUUAUGCUGACGAUUUGGACAAGUUUCGGUCCAUUACUAGGUAUGUUUUUACAGCUGUGAGUGGGCCGAUAAGUUGGAGGUCAACCUUACAACCAACACUAGCAUUGUCGACACCCGAAGCUGAAUAUAUGGCUGUUGUAGAAGGUAUAAGGGAAGCCGUUUGGAUGAAAGGUUUGUUUGAGGAGUUGGGGAUUCAGCAAGAGAAACUAAGCGUGUUGACAGUCAAACAUACACCUAGCUAAGAACCAGGUUUAUCACGCUCGAACAAAGCACAUCAAUGUACGAUAUCAUAAAGUACGGAAAAUUGUUGAAGAAGGUGAAAUUCAGCUGGAAAAGGUUGGAACCGCCAACAAUCCAGCAGAUAUGCUCACCAAAGUGGUGACAGGUGAAAAGUUUAGGCAUUGUCUAAACUUGAUCAGCAUUGUGCAUAUUUGAAGACACCUUAGGGUGUAGUGGUGCUGUCAAGCACAUGUGAAGCCCAAAAAGGAAGUGAAGCAUCUUAUAAUGAGUGAAGAAGUGAAGCAUCUAAGGAUGACCGAAAGCAGCAAAGUUUGAAGGAAAUGAAAUGUCAGAUUUCAUGCCAAGGUGGAGAAAUUAGAGAAUAGGGAAGUUGUCCUAGAAAUCUUGCCAAGGUGGAGAAUUGUUAGUUAUUGGCUUGAACACCCUGUUUUAGGAAAGAUCUAAUUGAUUUCCGUAAAUCAGUUUUGCACCUCCUCAAGUAUUUUAGGAAUCUGUUUUCUAAGUUACAUUAGGAAAUAGUUCUCUAUUUAGGACUUCUAUUUCUAGGCAAUUCUAGAUUAUUCCUAGGCCUACAAAUAAGAGUGUAACCCUUUGGUUAUUGUAUCUCAGUCUGAAUUGUAGAGGUGUGUGAAGAAGUCCAUUCUCUAAGUUUCAAUAAGAAGUUUAUUGCUGCAGUGGAGUAGGCACAUUGCCGAACCACUAUAAUUCUUUGUGUUCUUGUUUAAUUCCGCUAUAGUUUCCUGUUUUCUGUGUGAAAGAUCUUGGGGUGUCUAGGAAGUAGCUAAUCUUAGCACAACAGUCUUGUAUUAUCACAUUUUGGCUUUCUGUUUUUUAUAUCAUAGUUCUGAGGUUUACAUAGAUUUCUGUUGGUUAUAAUUGGUAUGCUCCUGUUGGCCGUUCAUUCUAUUCCCCCAACUUGGGGAGAAGACAGUCACUUGGUGAAGGUUUGGAAAGUUGGAGAGGUUUUUACCAGAGUAUUCGCCCGACUCAAAUGGGUCUUUCAUUGAAUAUAGAUAUGUCUUCCACGGCUUUCAUUGAGCCAUUACCUCUGAUACAAUUUGUUACCCAGCUCCUGAAUAGGGUUGCACUUGCUCGACCCUUGUCUGAUGCUGAUCGAGUCAAGGUGUGAAGGUUGAAGUAACUCACCGAGGAAGUAUGUGCAGAAAGUACCGUAUAUUUGGAUUAACCUCUCAGGCAACUAGAGAGCUGACUUUCCCUGUUGACGAAAAGGGUACCAUGAAGUCCGUUGUUGAAUAUUUUGGCGAGACUUAUGGAUUUUCUAUUCAGCACACACAUUGGCCCUGUUCGCUAGUUGAAAUCAACAAAGGCCAAUUAUCCUCCCAUGGAGGUUAAUACACACUCGAGCUUUUUUCUGUUGCUUUGAAGUUCUCUAGGUUUGUAAAAUUGUGAAGGGUCACAGGUACUCGAAAAGACUCAAUGAACGCCAGAAACUGCUCUUUUGAAGGUUACAUGUCACCAGCCACAGGAAAGGGAGAAAGAUACUAUGCAGACUUUUCGCCACAAUGCUUAUUACGAGGACCCGUUCGCUAAGGAAUUUGGAAUAAAAAUCAGUGAUAAGCUUGCUCAUGUUGAGGCUCGCAUUCUUCCUGCCCCAUGGCUUAAGUACAGUGAAAGUGGUAGAGAGAGAGAGAGAUUGCUUGCCCCAAGUCGGGCAAUGGAAUAUGAUGAACAGGAAAAUGGUUAAUGGGGGUGUUGUCAACAACUGGAUGUGUUUCAACUUUUCACGCAAUGUGACUCGUGGUUUUUGUUAUGAGCUUGCCCAGAUGUGUAAUUCAUAUUUCACACUGUGUUGGACAACUAUUAUCUUUGGUGCUGAUGUGACCCAUCCUCACCCGGGAGAGGAUUCAAGCCCCUUCAUUGC